rnacentral:rRNA from 1 species
CCUACGGGUGGCAGCAGUGGGGAAUAUUGCGCAAUGGGCGGAAGCCUGACGCAGCGACGCCGCGUGAGGGAUGAAGGUCUUCGGAUUGUAAACCUCUGUCAGUAGGGAAGAACGGUCACUGUGCUAAGCAGCAGUGAAUUGACGUUACCUGCAAAGGAAGCACCGGCUAACUCCGUGCCAGCAGCCGCGGUAAUACGGGGGGUGCGAGCGUUAAUCGGAAUUACUGGGCGUAAAGGGCUCGUAGGCGGUAUGUUAAGUUAAGGGUGAAAGCCCCGGGCUUAACCUGGGAACUGCAUUUGAAACUGGGUGACUGGAGUGUGUGAGAGGAUAGUGGAAUUCCAGGUGUAGCGGUGAAAUCCGUAGAUAUCUGGAGGAACAUCGAUGGCGAAGGCGACUCUCUGGCACAGAACUGACGCUGAGGUGCGAAAGCGUGGGUAGCAAACAGGAUUAGAUACCCGUGUAGUC